UUUAUACUUCCUCCGUUCGGAAUUACUUGUCGCAGAAAUGGAUGUAUCUAGAUGUAUUUUAGUUCUAGAUACAUCCAUAUCCGAGACAAGUAAUUCCGAACGGAGGGAGUACCUA
rnacentral:pre_miRNA from 1 species